rnacentral:rRNA from 1 species
UCCUACGGGAGGCAGCAGUAAGGAAUAUUGGUCAAUGGACGAAAGUCUGAACCAGCCAUGCCGCGUGAAGGAUGAAGGUCCUCUGGAUUGUAAACUUCUUUUAUCUGGGACGAAAAAAGGGAAUUCUUUCCCACUUGACGGUACCAGAGGAAUAAGCACCGGCUAACUCCGUGCCAGCAGCCGCGGUAAUACGGAGGGUGCAAGCGUUAUCCGGAUUCACUGGGUUUAAAGGGUGCGUAGGUGGGUCUGUAAGUCAGUGGUGAAAUCUCCGAGCUUAACUCGGAAACUGCCGUUGAUACUAUAGGUCUUGAAUCAUCUGCAGGUAAGCGGAAUAUGUCAUGUAGCGGUGAAAUGCUUAGAUAUGACAUAGAACACCAAUUGCGAAGGCAGCUUACUACGGAUGCAUUGACACUGAGGCACGAAAGCGUGCAGAUCAAACANNUUAGAUAGCCUGGUAGACAACCUACCAGG